CCUACGGGUGGCUGCAGUGGGGAAUAUUGGACAAUGGGCGAAAGCCUGAUCCAGCCAUGCCGCGUGUGUGAAGAAGGCCUUCGGGUUGUAAAGCACUUUCAGUGGGGAAGAAAGCCUUGGGGCUAAUACCCUCGAGGAAGGACAUCACCCACAGAAGAAGCACCGGCUAACUCCGUGCCAGCAGCCGCGGUAAUACGGAGGGUGCGAGCGUUAAUCGGAAUUACUGGGCGUAAAGCGCGCAUAGGCGGUCUGAUAAGCCGGUUGUGAAAGCCCCGGGCUCAACCUGGGAACGGCAUCCGGAACUGUCAGGCUAGAGUGCAGGAGAGGAAGGUAGAAUUCCCGGUGUAGCGGUGAAAUGCGUAGAGAUCGGGAGGAAUACCAGUGGCGAAGGCGGCCUUCUGGACUGACACUGACGCUGAGGUGCGAAAGCGUGGGUAGCAAACAGGAUUAGAUACCCCUGUAGUC
rnacentral:rRNA from 1 species